CUGGAAGGCAUGUGGCCUGGAGUGGGGAGAGUCUGUGUGGGAGGAAGAAGGGUAGUCGGGCCACUGCUCUCAGGCUAGAAGCAGGAAUAUUCCUUCUGCUAAGGAUGUAUUUCAGUAGUUGUUCAUCCAGCUGUGAAUUGUGCACCAUCUAUCCCAAUCAGAGGUUCCCAGACAACAGAUCUGAGCUCCCCUCCUGGAUCUCCAGGUCUUCUCCACUACCUCUCUAAGCUGGAGUCUACUGAUGUCCACUUUGUCUCAUUCACCACUGCAGGUCUCUGGUUUUCUGGACUUUCCAACAGGAAUGGGAGAAAACUGAUUCCCUAUUCCAUUUAGGGUCUGUAUUAGAUUGGAAGAGAACAC